rnacentral:tRNA from 1 species
GGGACCUUAGCUCAGCUGGUUCAGAGCGCAUGCUUCACACGCAUGAGGUCACUGGUUCGAAUCCAGUAGGUCCCACCA